GAUGAAGAACGUAGCGAAAUGCGAUAAGUAAUGCGAAUUGCAGAUUUCAGUGAGUCAUCGAAUCUUUGAACGCACAUUGCGCCCGCCAGUAUUCUGGCGGGCAUGCCUGUUCGAGCGUCAUUUCAACCAUCAAGCCCCCGGGCUUGCGUUGGGGCCCUGCGGCUGCCGCAGGCCCCGAAAAGCAGAGGCGGGCUCGCUGUCACACCGAGCGCAGUAGCGAUUCUCGCUCCGGGCGUCGGCGGCGGGCACCGGCCGUGAAACCCCCCCACAUCCACAAGGUUGACCUCGGAUCAGGUAGGAAUACCCGCUGAACUUAAGCAUAUCAAUAAGCGGAGGA
rnacentral:misc_RNA from 1 species